CCCAUGUGAGUUCGCUUACAGUCGAGCGGAUGACGGGAGCUUGCUCCUUGAUUAGCGGCGGACGGGUGAGUAAUGCCUAGGAAUCUGCCUGGUAGUGGGGGACAACGUUCCGAAAGGAGCGCUAAUACCGCAUACGUCCUACGGGAGAAAGUGGGGGAUCUUCGGACCUCACGCUAUCAGAUGAGCCUAGGUCGGAUUAGCUAGUUGGUGAGGUAAAGGCUCACCAAGGCGACGAUCCGUAACUGGUCUGAGAGGAUGAUCAGUCACACUGGAACUGAGACACGGUCCAGACUCCUACGGGAGGCAGCAGUGGGGAAUAUUGGACAAUGGGCGAAAGCCUGAUCCAGCCAUGCCGCGUGUGUGAAGAAGGUCUUCGGAUUGUAAAGCACUUUAAGUUGGGAGGAAGGGCAGUAAGUUAAUACCUUGCUGUUUUGACGUUACCGACAGAAUAAGCACCGGCUAACUCUGUGCCAGCAGCCGCGGUAAUACAGAGGGUGCAAGCGUUAAUCGGAAUUACUGGGCGUAAAGCGCGCGUAGGUGGUUCGUUAAGUUGGAUGUGAAAGCCCCGGGCUCAACCUGGGAACUGCAUCCAAAACUGGCGAGCUAGAGUAUGGUAGAGGGUGGUGGAAUUUCCUGUGUAGCGGUGAAAUGCGUAGAUAUAGGAAGGAACACCCGUGGCGAAGGCGACCACCUGGACUGAUACUGACACCGAGGUGCGAAAGCGUGGGGAGCAAACACGAUUAGAUAC
rnacentral:rRNA from 1 species